rnacentral:lncRNA from 1 species
AACCAGGCCUCUCUGAGGUGACCUGGCCUCUGUGAGGUGACUAGGCCUCUGUAAGGAGAUUAGGCCUCUGUGGAGGCGUACCUUCUUUCCCAGCUGCCAUUCUGUUCCAUGGAUGAUGCUGGCAAGUCCCAAACCCUCUCCAGCUAUCAAGAUGAACACCUUGCAGAAGAAAGAAGUCUGCCGCAGAGAAAGACGACUGGACGGGGCAGCUGGGAAGGGUUCUUACCACCAAGCCUGAGGCCCAAGUUUGAUCCCUAAAGCUCACACAGCAAAAGGAGUGGAACGGCUCCUGAAAGCUACCCUCUGACCUCUAUCUUAUGUCUCCUUCACAAAGAAACAAAUCAAGAUAAAUAAAUAAAUGUAUGCA